rnacentral:lncRNA from 1 species
GAAGGGGAAAAAAUGGGGCAUUACCCAUUUUAUUGCAGUCCAGAAUAAGAAGGAAACAUUUAUAAAGGAGAGAAAAGCAGCAGUGCAAUCUUUGUCUUUAAAAUAUUUUGGGAGAAGACUUUGACUUAGCAAACAGCAUCAUUUCAAACUAUACCAAGGCAAACACCAUUUUCAGAUCAUCUUAAAUCCACAGUGAGCCCCAUCCAUCCAUCCUGGCCACUUUGCCCCUCCCAAAAGGGCAUUUUGCCCUUUGCUCAUCCCUAAAGCCCCUCUUAAAUGCGUAUCCCAAACGAUGCACUUGCACCAGGAGGAAGCUGAGAUUUACGAUACACAUCCAAAGAAACAGCAUUUCCAAGUCAAUAAGACAGCAGAGAAAGGCUCCCAGUAAGCUGAGGAAUGGACCUGCCAUUUCAGAGCUCAGAGAAAACAAAUAUGGAAAUCUGCAGUGUGGGAGUGUGCCAGCGCUGGGGGCGAGAGGGAUGGGGCUGGGAGGAUUUCCAGCUCCACACAGCCUCUUUACUUCUGUACCAUAGCCCUCCAAGCCCUGGGGGCUGACACUAGGCCAUGGUAACUGCUAAUGCAAGGGGAUAAUUAGAGGUUUAGGUGGAGAUUAGGAACAAUUCCUUCUCCAAAGGGUGCUCAGGCAUUGGAACAGGCUGCCCAGGGCAGUGCUGGAGUCACUGUCCCUGGAAAUGUUCACACACCGUGUAGACGAGGCCUCAGUGCCAUGGGUUAGUGGUGGCCUUGGCAGUCCUGGAGGGACAGGCGCUGCGGGAGCUGAGCACCAGGCUGCACACGCUGGCCGGUGCCGCCGUCCUCCGUGCCGUCACCCUCACCAGCCGCGGCGGCGUCCCCGGUGCGCUGCCCCCAGCUCCUGCGGGGAGCCUCUGCUCGCCGUCCCGGCACGGCUCUUACCUCAGGUGAGUGCUGGGGCUCUGCGGGUGGGAUGGCAGAGCCGGCCCCAUGCUGCUGCCGAGCAGUGCCAUGGUGCGUGUCUGGGCCGGGGGGCUGCAGGGGCGCGGAGCGCAGCGUGAAGUCGUAGAAUUCAUGGAUAUCUGCAACAGAGCCUGGAAGAGUUCACUUUGGAAGAUGUGCGAGACUUUUCCAAUGGAAGCUUUUAGCUCCUGCUCCUCCGGGGACUGCAGGGUGCUUUGGUAUCUGGUCAGAAUUUCCACUGCCCGUUCAGGCGCUCCUUACCUUCCCUGCGGAUCAUCGCUCCGCCGUGGCCAGCGGCCGCUCCGCUCGGUGCCAGCCCCCGAGGAGCC